UGAGAGAUGGAAAUGACAGUGUUUCAUCAGUGCUAAAGUUAAGCUAUGAUAACCUGCCAAUCCACUUGAAGCAAUGUUUUGCUUAUUGUGCCUUAUUUCCAAAAAAUUAUGAAAUUGAGAAAAAAUUAUUGGUUCAAUUAUGGAUGGCACAAGGUUAUAUUCAACCUUUAGACGAGAAUGUAGGAGAUCAGUAUUUUGAGGAAUUAUUGUCAAGAUCAUUGUUGGAAGAGGUUGAAAAUGGUGUUUAUAAUAAUGUAUCAAGUUGUAAAAUGCAUGAUUUUAUACAUGACCUUGCCCAGUUAGUUGGAUCUGAGACCUUUAUUUUAAGAAAUGAUGCGGAGGAGAUCUUGGAAAGAGUUCAUCAUGUAUCAUGAUCUAAACCAUUGAAUAAUGGGAGGAAGGCUUUGAAGGUAAAACACAUAAGAACCUUUUUAAAGCUUCAUACAUAUGAAGACGAUAGCUCAAUUGUGAGUAAGCUUAUUUCAAAUUUUAAAAAUUUACGUGUGUUAAGCCUAAGUAAGUUCAACAUAAGGAAGGUGUCAAAGUCUUUAGGCAAAUUGAAUCAUCUAAGGUAUCUCAAUCUUUCCUAUAAUCAUUUUAAUGCUCUCCCAAAUUCUAUUACAAGGUUGAAUAACUUGCAAACAUUAUAACUUGUUGGUUGUGAAUAUUUAAAGGAAUUCCCCAAAGAUAUAAGGGAAUUGGUUAAUCUUAGGCACUUGGAGGAUAAUGGGUGUAGGAGUUUGACUCAUGUGCCAUGUGGGAUAAGAGAAUUGACUUCGCUUGAAAGGCUACCACUAUUUGUUGUUGGAGAUAGGAAGGGGUGGUUCAAGGAUGAUCGCCAAAUUGGAAAGUUGAGUGAAUUGGAAGGGCUUAACAACCUCAGAGGAAAGCUAAGGAUUGAAAAGCUCGAAAAUGUGAGGGAUGUUGUGGAAGAAUCCAGGGAAGCAAACUUGAGGGGGAAAAAAUACGUUCAAUCCUUGGGAUUAAAAUGGCAGGACCCAAGAGCCCAAUCGGGUGAGGACACUGAAUCACUGAUAGAAGGCCUACAGCCACAUCCACACCUGGAGGAGCUCUCUGUAGAAGGAUAUGGAGGCGUGAGGUUUCCAAGUUGGAUGAAGAAUUAUGGGUCGAGUCUGCCUAACCUCAUCACAAUUAAUCUGGAAAGAUGUUCAGGAUGCCAGAUUCUUCCAUCAUUUGCUGAACUCCCUCACCUCAAGUCUCUGGAGCUUGAUGGUAUGGAAAAGGUGGAGUACAUGGAGUGUUCAUCAGAAGGCCCGUUCUUCCCAUCUCUUCAAUACCUCAAACUCAACUUAAUGCCUGAGUUGAAGGAAUUCUGGAGGAGGGACUCACCAACGGAGCCUUGCCCUUCAUUUCCUUGUCUUUCCGAAUUAACCAUAUGGGGAUGCUUUAAUCUGACAUCAGUUGCACUGCCUUCAUCCCCUCUUCUCUCACAACUAGAUAUCAAGUUCUGUGAUAAGUUAGCCUCCUUGGAGCUGCAUUCAUCUCCUCGUCUUUCUAGUUUGGAGAUCUGGGUUAGCCCUAAGCUCACAUUCUUGAAAGUACCUUCGUUAACCUGUCUUAAGACUCUAAAGCUGCUCGGGGUGAAGGAAGAGCUAUUACGUCAAAUGUUGUUCACUGCUUCUUCAUUGUAGUCUCUAUCUAUUGCAGUCGUGGAUGAUAUGAGAACUCUCCCAGAUGAGCUGCUUCAACAUGUUUCCACCCUCCAAACUCUCAACAUUUGGAACUGCCCCAAUUUUACAGCAUUCCCACACUGGAUAGGCGGAUUCUCCUCACUCAGAAUGCUUAAAAUAUAUAAAUGUCCCAAAUUGACAUCACUGCCGGAAGAGAUGCCUUCCCUCAACAGCCUACAGAGAACUGUUGUCUCUGAUUGUUUGAACUUAGAAAAAAGUGGCCAAGAGGAAACUGUUGAAGACCGGCCACAAAUAGAUUUCAUCGAUGAAAGAAUGAAUGAAAUUGGAUUCCAUGUCAGAUUUUACUUGCUUUAAGAAGCUUAAGUUGGCCUAAUGCCCAAAGGGAUGCCAGAAGGAAAUAGGUCUUGGAUUGGCCUAAAGAUUUUACAUUGCCUACAAAUUCAUAUCUAUUAGAUGGCUAAAGCAGAAAGGACAUUUGCUUUCGUUUUAAUUCAAAUAUGAACAACGCAUAUAUUUCAGAUGUAAGUGUUGUCAAUUGAAUGUAAAAGGGUUAAUGGCGGGGCUUGAACAUCUCUAUGAGUGGAUUCAAUAUUUCAUCACCUUUGACACCUUGAAUAAAUGUUGCAGAGAGCUUCAUUUGUCAGAUAAUGAGGAUGAGGUCGGCAUGCAAAUUGAAUGGACUCCGAAGCUUUAGUUGGUCUCUCCACCAUUGGGUCUUGGAAAUGUUACCAUUCUUGAAAUUCUUCAAAUCAUCAACUGUUCUUGUUUAGAAACUUAAACAGCUUGACAUCUCCUGAUGAGCUUCAAAUGUUUGCCCUGAAUUGAAAUCACUGCCAGAAGGGGAUGUGCCCCUAUGCACUUAAAUGUUCCUGAAAAUUGAUAUUGACCAGAAAUGGAUGAUUCAUAAGGAAUUUCUAUCCCUUAAUUCAAGCAUCUCAUCUACAAUAUAUUUCAGAUUUCACCUUGUUUAGGAGGCUUGUGAUUAGUCAUUGGCCCAAAGGUUUCUCAUAUCCCAAUGCAAAAUGAUGAUGGAAGAUGGGCUGGAUAUUGCCUAUGCCUUGGAAAAAAGGUAUUGAGGGCCAGUGCGAAGGAAAAACUCCACUAACUUGCAUUAAACUCUAUCUCUUCUCUACUCUCAAGUGACAACAUUACAAGCCUGGAUGAACCUUCCCCUCAAUUGGCAUCACUGCCAUCAGAAAUGCAUUCUCUCAGCACCCUGGAGAGACUCAUCAUUUGGGACUGUUCUGGUUUGGCAGCCACAUAUUAUUUAUAUGCUUUGAAAUUAAUCACUUGAGCAAUUUAUAUCUACUAGCUGACUAAUGCAGAAAGGACUUUGGCUGCCAUUUCAAUUCAGCCAUUGAGAAGAACUUCAUCUGUUAGAGAAUGAGGAUGAUGACAGUGGCACACAAUUUGAAGGAAACCCUCAUAACUAGGCUGGAUUGGUGGCUUGACAUCUCUGGAAGUUGGGUACACAAGCAAAAGAGAACUGUUUUCCACGCUAUUUGUGAUUGCUUGAGCCACCAUAACGACAUGAUUAUGCUGUUUGAGACUGUUCAAUGUUUCAGAGGCAAAUGUUGGCCACUUAUGGAUGGCUGAUGAAUAUGAAAAGGGUUAUCAAUUGCAUCACCAACCUAAGGCCUCCUCAGUUUUUGUUACUGUUCACAACCAUCCUUUCUACUCAGGUUUAUGCUUUUGAUCCCUUUAUUGUUUAUUACUUCUCAAUCAGUUUGUUGAGAAAGUGUUAUACUUUGCUUGCAAUUUUGGUUUGUUGAUUCCCAUGUGUAGCAGAGGAUAGCUGAGAGUUGAGUGAGCAGCAUAUACUGCUGAAUCAGUAAAACAUGAGUUCGGUUAAUUCCCCUCUUUUAAGCUUUUCAAGCUCAGGAACCUAAAUGCUUUGGAUUGACUGUGAUAGAGUCUUCUUCAUUUUUAUUGAAGGUAGCACUAUUCUUCUCAUACCUGAAGUAGCCAGACUCCAUAGUUUGAAAAACUUUGAAAGGGAGUAUCAUUGCUAGAUAGAAUACCAAUCCUUUGGUGAGGAGCACAUAUAGUACCGAAUCAUAAGAAAAUUUGGUUCCCCCACUUUUCUAAAUUUUCUUGGGCAUGGGAAUCUAAAUACUCUUAAAUACACCGACAAUAAUGGAUUGUUUCAUCCAUUACUCGGCUGAUUAUGUCAUCCUGCAACUGUCUUUGAAGUUAGAGCUACUGGCAUUACAUAUGCCUUUGAACCAGAGAUCCAAGAUGGGGCUGAUGCUACGGGAGCUACAGUGAGGAUCCCAAAAUUGUCCAGGAAAUGACAGAAAUUAUGCCUGGGUUUCAAGGCGAAAUCCCUGCCAAUUCAAGGAAGGGCAUUCCUUAUGUUGGUGGAAAGUAAACUUUACAAAAAGAGAACUGCACAAUGUCUUUGUUAAAAAGCUUUAAAGGUAACAAAGAGGGCACCACAUUGGAGCAAUAAACUUUCUGUAGAGGAUGUGGAGUAUCUUUUCAUGAAGAGCCUUUCUGUGUUUCUUGUAGGUUCACAUGGAUUUGACUUUGUUAGCCCUUGACAUGGACAAUAACAUGGUGGCACAAGGACUCAAUGUCUUGUGCAAGGAGAUGACUUGGUGAGCCAUGGACGCAAUGCCAUGACAUGUGUAGCACCAAUAGAGAGACUCGGAUAGGGCACAUCAAUGUGAAAAGUUAACAUCGAGGCUUGCUAUUCAUAACUGUCCAAUGACACCUCCUUCUCUAGUUCCUGGAUUGUUUCAGAAGCAAAAUUAAUCACCAUUCUAAAAACUUCUCGUGUGACAAAUGUUUUCCAUGGUCUAUGAGUGUGAUUCAUGUAGUUACGUUUAAAAUAUAUUUCAUGAAGCUUUAAUGGGAUA